rnacentral:tRNA from 2 species
CAGGAAGUAGUUUAAUUAGAAUGUCAGCUUUGGGAGUUGAUGGUGAGGUGUAUUUGCCUUCUUCUUGA